CCUACGGGAGGCAGCAGUGAGGAAUAUUGGUCAAUGGACGAGAGUCUGAACCAGCCAAGCAGCGUGAAGGAUGACUGCCCUAUGGGUUGUAAACUUCUUUUAUAAAGGAAUAAAACGAGGCACGUGUGCCUUUUUGCAUGUACUUUAUGAAUAAGGAUCGGCUAACUCCGUGCCAGCAGCCGCGGUAAUACGGAGGAUCCGAGCGUUAUCCGGAUUUAUUGGGUUUAAAGGGAGCGUAGAUGGGUUGUUAAGUCAGUUGUGAAAGUUGCGGGCUCAACCGGAGGAUUGCAAUUGAUACUGGCAGACUUGAGUACAGUUGAGGUAGGCGGAAUUCGUGGUGUAGCGGUGAAAUGCUUAGAUAUCACGAAGAACCCCGAUGGCGAAGGCAGCUUACUAAACUGUGACUGACGUUGAUGCACGAAAGUGUGGGGAGCAAACAGGAUUAGAUACCCUGGUAGUC
rnacentral:rRNA from 1 species